GAGGGGCAUCAGUUUGGUUUGCUUGCAAACCAAAGCUGGCGACCGGCGCACGGGUGAGUAACACGUAUCCAACCUACCUCAUACUCGGGGAUAGCCUUUCGAAAGAAAGAUUAAUAUCCGAUAGCAUAUAUUUCCCGCAUGGGUUUUAUAUUAAAGAAAUUCGGUAUGAGAUGGGGAUGCGUUCCAUUAGUUUGUUGGGGGGGUAACGGCCCACCAAGACUACGAUGGAUAGGGGUUCUGAGAGGAAGGUCCCCCACAUUGGAACUGAGACACGGUCCAAACUCCUACGGGAGGCAGCAGUGAGGAAUAUUGGUCAAUGGACGCGAGUCUGAACCAGCCAAGUAGCGUGAAGGAUGACUGCCCUAUGGGUUGUAAACUUCUUUUAUAUGGGAAUAAAGUGGUCCACGUGUGGACUUUUGUAUGUACCAUAUGAAUAAGGAUCGGCUAACUCCGUGCCAGCAGCCGCGGUAAUACGGAGGAUCCGAGCGUUAUCCGGAUUUAUUGGGUUUAAAGGGAGCGUAGGCGGAUUGUUAAGUCAGUUGUGAAAGUUUGCGGCUCAACCGUAAAAUUGCAGUUGAUACUGGCAGUCUUGAGUGCAGUAGAGGUGGGCGGAAUUCGUGGUGUAGCGGUGAAAUGCUUAGAUAUCACGAAGAACUCCGAUUGCGAAGGCAGCUCACUGGAGUGUAACUGACGCUGAUGCUCGAAAGUGU
rnacentral:rRNA from 1 species